GAUGAAGAACGUAGCGAAAUGCGAUAAGUAGUGUGAAUUGCAGAAUUCAGUGAAUCAUCGAAUCUUUGAACGCACAUUGCGCCCCUUGGUAUCCCGAGGGGCAUGCCUGUUCGAGCGUCAUUUCACCACUCAAGCCUGGCUUGGUGUUGGCGACGUCCUCUUUGGGGACGCGCCUCGAAACGCUCGGCGGCGUGGCACCGGCUUUAAGCGUAGCAGAAUCUUUCGCUUUGGAAGUCGGGGCCCCGUCUGCCGGAAGACCUGCUCGCAAGGUUGACCUCGGAUCAGGCAGGGAUACCCGCUGAACUUAAGCAUAUCAAUAAGCGGAGGA
rnacentral:misc_RNA from 1 species